GAAUAUUGGACAAUGGGCGAAAGCCUGAUCCAGCCAUGCCGCGUGUGUGAAGAAGGUCUUCGGAUUGUAAAGCACUCUAAGUUGGGAGGAAGGGCAGUAAGCGAAUACCUUGCCGUUUUGACGUUCCCGACAGAAUAAGCACCGCCCAACUCUGUCCCAGCAGCCGCGGUAAUACAGAGGGUGCCAGCGUUCAUCGGAAUUACUGGGCGUAAAGCGCGCGUAGGUGGUUCGUUAAGUUGGAUGUGAAAUGCCCGGGCUCAACCUGGGAACUGCAUCCAAAACUGGCGAGCUAGAGUAGGGCAGAGGGUGGUGGAAUUUCCUGUGUAGCGGUGAAAUGCGUAGAUAUAGGAAGGAACACCAGUGGCGUAGGCGACCACCUGGGCUCAUACUGACACUGAGGUGCGAAAGCGUGGGGAGCAAACA
rnacentral:rRNA from 1 species